AGAAAGUGAUGAUGAUAAAGUUAUCCCUGGCUGAAUGCUGAUGAAAACUUUCUUCUGAUUCUUCA